rnacentral:rRNA from 1 species
UACGGGGGGGGCAAGCGUUGUUCGGAAUUACUGGGCGUAAAGGGCUCGUAGGCGGCCAACUAAGUCGGACGUGAAAUCCCUCGGCUUAACCGGGGAACUGCGUCCGAUACUGGAUGGCUCGAGUUUGGGAGAGGGAUGCGGAAUUCCAGGUGUAGCGGUGAAAUGCGUAGAUAUCUGGAGGAACACCGGUGGCGAAGGCGGCAUCCUGGACCGGUAUUGACGCUGAGGCGCGAAAGCCAGGGGAGCAAACGGGAU